GAUAAAUAUUUUUAAGAAUUUAUGCCUUACAGUGCAUCAACAGUAAAUAGACAAGAAAGAGAAAGCGUACAAGAAAGUCUGAGCAAACAAAGAGACAAAGUAAAAAGCCUCAGAAGAUGGAGGAAGAGAAGAUGACUCUGAAUGGAUGCAAGAGCUACGCGUUGGUACCUAGAAUUCGUGAGCUUUCUGGUCACCAAGGUUCAGAAACUGAAGCCAAAUCACAUAUUUAUGAUAGAAAGAUGUGAACCACGAUGCUGCGUACUCAUAAAGCACUUUUCUUGAAGAGCUAUUUCCUCCUGACAGAGUAAAUAGAUAACAGAAAGGAAGAGAUUGAUUUGUUUCUCACAGAAAAAGAAAGCUCAUUCAAAGCCAGUUUAAAGUGAGUAUACUUAAGCUGUUUAUUACCAACUCCAGUGUUAAGUACAAGAAAAAAAACCCAAAGUUUUGGAAUGAGCAGGUCAUCCCAGAAGCUGUCCCCAUUUGAACAUCCUUCAGGUGCAGACCUUGUUUUAGCGGUUGCACUCAAGAAACUUUGUCAUUCAUUCCCUUUUAAAGCCUUUUUUUCCUGGAGUAUUUUUACUGGUAUCUGUGACUGUAGUGAUGUUUCACAGAAUUUUUUAUAUUUAGUGUAUUCAAUGGGUGUGAACAGAUAGAUGAAUACAGUGACAAUUUUAUGUGGGCAUUUGUCAGGCUUUAAUUAUCUAUGAUAUUCGUUUAGAAGUGAAGUGUUUAGCUGUUACAUUUUUGAGGUAUGAUAUAAGAAAAAAGUUACA